GCGUUCGUCAGUUCCUUACGGCAAGUCGAUCAGUUAGGGUGUGUUAUUGUUGCAUUAGUUGAUUUCAAAGUUGUUUCGAAAAUUAUUAUUUAUAUAAGUGAUACCGCGAUUUACUAAUUAAAUCUUAGUAAUUAUCAAAAGUGACGAUCGUGUGAUUAAAUCAAUAACGCUAAUUCGCAGUGCGAACUCUUGUUUCACGGGAUUUUUUUUUUUAGUGACGCUCCCCUUCACAAACGGCUGCUGUUGAAACCUCUUCGAUUUGGAUUUCCACCCUCAUCCACCCUUUUGGAUUUACCACGGAUAAUCAGCAAGGAAUUUCUAUUAAUAAGGUUCGUUUCUAGUCUUGAUGAUCAGUUCUUAAUUUAAAAUUCGUCAGUAUUGGUGCCUCUAUUUUUUUUUUUUUUUUUUGGAGUCUGCGUUCUCAUGCUUGGGAGGUUAAGUUGGGGUUAAAAAGCAAAAAGAAGUUCACAGCUUUAAUUCUUAAGACCUGACCCGACAGCAAAAGCGUCGAGGGAGAUUAUCGCGUGGAUAAAAUAGCUGGCUUAAUUAUCCGGUGAGAGAAUAAACAUUAUUUCAAGGAUGUGUAAGGUAACAAAUUUUACAAUAUGAAGAUAUAAAAUACACGCGGUGAAAAAUAUAAAGGUGAGCUUUCAUUAUCGAUGUGUAAUUAACUGAAACUUCGGG